AUGUUAUUUUAAAAUGUAAAAAGCAUCUUUAAAAGCAAAUUAAAAAAUCUAUUUUUAUUAUGGAUGUGAACUUUUCUUAUCUCCUUUUCUGAAACUUAUGGGGAGCUCUGGAUUGCACUGCCAACUCAUCGUGGGAACUUCUGGUAGGAGAGGAGCUUCUCAAGGAGUAAUCUUCUGUAAAUCUGCAAAAACAGCAAAUAGGAACUAGCAUCCAGCUCCUGGGUGACUCAGUGC
rnacentral:lncRNA from 1 species